ACUUUGAAAACUACAACAAAGGUCACAAUCAACAUUCAUUGCUGUCGGUGGGUUGGAUUGUAAAAGAAAGCUCACUGAACAAUGAAUGCAACUGUGUCCCAGAUUUACAUCUCGCAAAGUG
rnacentral:pre_miRNA from 8 species